rnacentral:rRNA from 1 species
AGUGAACGCUGGCGAUAGGCCUAACACAUGCAAGUCGAACGGCAGCACAGUAAGAGCUUGCUCUUACGGGUGGCGAGUGGCGGACGGGUGAGGAAUACAUCGGAAUCUACUUUUUCGUGGGGGAUAACGUAGGGAAACUUACGCUAAUACCGCAUACGACCUACGGGUGAAAGCAGGGGAUCUUCGGACCUUGCGCGAUUGAAUGAGCCGAUGUCGGAUUAGCUAGUUGGCGGGGUAAAGGCCCACCAAGGCGACGAUCCGUAGCUGGUCUGAGAGGAUGAUCAGCCACACUGGAACUGAGACACGGUCCAGACUCCUACGGGAGGCAGCAGUGGGGAACAUUGGACAAUGGGCGCAAGCCUGAUCCAGCCAUACCGCGUGGGUGAAGAAGGCCUUCGGGUUGUAAAGCCCUUUUGUUGGGAAAGAAAAGCAGCAGGUUAAUACCCCGCUGUUCUGACGGUACCCAAAGAAUAAGCACCGGCUAACUUCGUG